rnacentral:rRNA from 1 species
UACAGAGACUGCAAGCGUUGUUCGGAUUCAUUGGGCGUAAAGGGUCCGUAGGCGGUCGGUUAAGUCGGAUGUGAAAUCUCGUGGCCUAACCACGAGCGGUCAUUCGAAACUAAUCGGCUAGAGGGCUGGAGAGGAGACUGGAAUUGUCGGUGUAGCGGUGAAAUGCGUAGAGAUCGACAAGAACACCGGUGGCGAAGGCGGGUCUCUGGGCCGUAACUGACGCUGAGGAGCGAAAGCAUGGGGAGCGAACAGG